rnacentral:rRNA from 1 species
GUGAGGAAUAUUGGUCAAUGGGCGAGAGCCUGAACCAGCCAAGUCGCGUGAAGGAAGAAGGAUCUAUGGUUCGUAAACUUCUUUUGCAGGGGAAUAAAGUGCAGGACGUGUUCUGUUUUGUAUGUACCCUGAGAAUAAGGAUCGGCUAACUCCGUGCCAGCAGCCGCGGUAAUACGGAGGAUCCGAGCGUUAUCCGGAUUUAUUGGGUUUAAAGGGUGCGUAGGUGGUUUGAUAAGUCAGCGGUGAAAGUUUGCAGCUUAACUGUAAAAAUGCCGUUGAAACUGUCGGACUUGAGUGUAAAUGAGGUAGGCGGAAUGCGUGGUGUAGCGGUGAAAUGCAUAGAUAUCACGCAGAACUCCGAUUGCGAAGGCAGCUUACUAAGCUACAACUGACACUGAAGCACGAAAGCGUGGGGAUCAAACAGGAUUAGAAACCCGUGUAGUCC